rnacentral:rRNA from 1 species
CUAGACCUCGGAUCAGGCCAGGCUACCCGCUGAAUUUAAGCAUAUCAAUAAGCGGAGGAAAAGAAACUAACAAGGAUUCCCUUAGUAACGGCGAGCGAAGCGGGAAUAGCUCAAAUUUGAAAUCUCCAGUGGUUGCACUGGCGAAUUGUAGUCUGUAGGGCCAGUUUCGCCCGAUGCGGCGUCCCCAAAGUCGUCCUGGAAAGGCGGGCCAGAGAGGGUGAGAGCCCCGUGUGCGGGGGCACCGCGGAAGGUAAGAUCUGUGCCCGAAGAGUCGGGUUGUUUGGGAUUGCAGCCCAAAAUGGGUGGUAAACUCCAUCUAAAGCUAAAUACUGGCACGAGACCGAUAGCGAACAAGUACCG